AUGGCACAUAAUAGAGCCCCUGGCCCGGACAACAUUCCUGCAGAGUUUUAUCAGGUGUGUUGGGAUAUUGUGAAAGAUGAUAUCAUGUCCCUCUUUGAUCAUUUUCAUAAAGGGGAUCUAGAUGUUCAGCGGCUUAAUUACGGUGUGAUUACCCUUCUCCCUAAGACUGCGGGGGCAGACAAGAUCCAACAAUUCCGCCCCAUUUGCCUUUUUAGAUGUCCUUACAAGCUAAUCACUAAGGUACUUGAUAGGCGAGCUGAAAAAUAUGCCGAUAAGCUUAUCAACAGAACCCAGAAUAAUGCCUUUGUGAAGGGGAGGAAUAUCAUGGAUGGUGUGAUGUCCCUGCAUGAGAUUCUUAAUUACACUCAUGUGAAAAAGAGCGUAGGGGUAGUUCUGAAACACGACUUUGAGAAGGAUUAUUCUAGAAUGCCACAAGUUACGAGGCUUUAA
rnacentral:rRNA from 1 species